rnacentral:rRNA from 1 species
CAGUAGCCGCGGGAAUACGAAGGGGGCUAGCGUUACUCGGAAUUACUGGGCGUAAAGGGCGCGUAGGCGGCACGAUUAGUCAGGCGUGAAAUUCCUGGGCUCAACCUGGGGACUGCGCUUGAUACGGUCGAGCUAGAGGAUGGAAGAGGGUCGUGGAAUUCCCAGUGUAGAGGUGAAAUUCGUAGAUAUUGGGAAGAACACCGGUGGCGAAGGCGGCGACCUGGUCCAUUACUGACGCUGAGGCGCGACAGCGUGGGGAGCAAACAGGAUUAGAUACCCGUGUAGUCCCUGUCUCUUAUAC